GAUGAACGCUGGCGGCGUGCCUAAUACAUGCAAGUCGAGCGAACAGACGAGGAGCUUGCUCCUCUGACGUUAGCGGCGGACGGGUGAGUAACACGUGGAUAACCUACCUAUAAGACUGGGAUAACUUCGGGAAACCGGAGCUAAUACCGGAUAAUAUAUUGAACCGCAUGGUUCAAUAGUGAAAGACGGUUUUGCUGUCACUUAUAGAUGGAUCCGCGCCGCAUUAGCUAGUUGGUAAGGUAACGGCUUACCAAGGCAACGAUGCGUAGCCGACCUGAGAGGGUGAUCGGCCACACUGGAACUGAGACACGGUCCAGACUCCUACGGGAGGCAGCAGUAGGGAAGCUUCCGCAAUGGGCGAAAGCCUGACGGAGCAACGCCGCGUGAGUGAUGAAGGUCUUCGGAUCGUAAAACUCUGUUAUUAGGGAAGAACAAAUGUGUAAGUAACUAUGCACGUCUGGACGGUACCUAAUCAGAAAGCCACGGCUAACUACGG
rnacentral:rRNA from 1 species